UCAAACCGUAUUCACCAUUCGGAGCCUCAGUCUUCACUUGAAAUAUACUGAUCGCCUGAAAUAUUUGACAUAUCAACGCCUUUUGAUACUACUCUGUCUCCACCAAUUCAUCAAAUCCUUCUGAUAAACCAUCUAAAAACAAACUAAUUUUCUUAUAAACCAUUUAUAUAACACCACCGUCCAUUUUAAGGUAAGUAGAAUAUGAAUAACCUAUGAACUCGUGUUACACCAUUAAUCAAAUCAUCAUUUACUUGUGUCUAAAAAAUACGUUACUACUUUAACGAACACAAGAUAACAAAAACACAGUUUCGCAGUUACUUCAAAGAUAUGAAUUUUAGUUGGCUUUAGACUUUAGAAGGCCACCUAAAAGUCAACUAUAGAAAUGCUGACUUUUGCUUACCAGAUUGCAACAUCGACUUUGACGAAAGAUAAACCGUUUCAUCGUCCUCCUCAUCUUUGAGCUCUGGAAUCAAAUCUCUCUCGGUGGGAAGCUGAAAAGCGUGAGCUUUGUUGAUAUUUUUGAGAAAAAGGAGAAUCAAUCGUUUGUGAGGUAGGGAGCAUUAAUGGCAGACGCAGUGGUUGCAUUUGGACUGCAGAAGCUCUGGGUGGAUCUGUUGUGCCUCUCAAAACCUUGCUGAAGGAGUUUUACCUUUGUCUCUCGGUGCAUCAUUGAAACACUUGGAGGAGUUAAUGUUAUACAAUAAAAGAAACAGCCAAGUCCAACACGCUAAGAUCAAUGCAGGAGCCCUUGUUUCCGGUUUCCAAAGACUUAACCAGUUAAGGUUAGAUAUAAGGAUUGACAAGUUACCCAAUGAACUUCAGUUCCCUUCCCGGAUCACCUCUCUUUCACUAUCCUCGUGUGGCUUAUCCGAGGAUCCAAUGCCAGUUCUUGAGAAGCUACACAGCUUAAAGAUUGUUAGUCUAGAACUGAAUGCAUUCACAGGGAGGAAAAUCGUCUGCUCGAAAGCCGGGUUCCCUAAACUGCAUACUCUAGAGUUUUCGAUACUCGACAAACUUAGAGGAAUGGAUGGUAGAAGAAGAGUCCAUGCCAUAUCUUUGUCAUUUGGAGAUCAAUGACUGUAGAAAGCUGAAGAGUCUUCCUGAUGGGUUAAGAUACAUAACUGGUUUAGAGGAGGUAAGAGUUGGAUGGAUGGAAAAUGCAUUCAAGGAUAAGUUAACCCAAGGUGGUGAAGAUUACUACAAAAUACAACAUGUAUCUUAUGUUGUGUUUCACAAUUGCGGUGAUGAAUGAUGAAGAAGUGCAAUAACAGAAUGAUUACAAGGAUCCUAAUCUUAUCUUUUAUGCUUAAUAAUGAUUUGUUUUGCAUGUAUUAUUUAUAACACUUCUUUCAAACUGUAUCUUUAGAGUUCUAUAACAAAGCACAAUCCAAAGAAAAGAGACAUAAUCGUUUCUCGACAUAGCCAAGUGAAACAUUAACCUUGAGUUCCUAAUAUUUUCUGAGUUGAUAUAUGAACAUGUCUCAAAUUGUCAAAAAAAAAAAAGAAGCUUUAUUAAAAUGUUUAUUAAAAUAUUUAUGGCCUCAAAAUCUUAGGACCAACCUUGAAACUAGAAGCAAAUGACCAAUAAAA